GAGGCACAAAUGGAGGCACACAACCGCCUAACUACUAAGGUGGAAGAAGCAUGGGACAGAUUGAAUGACUAUGAGGCCAAAAUUGCAGACAUGGAGGACCGCGCACGACGCAGUAACUUAAGACUGCAGAAUGUGCCCGAAAACAUAAGCCCCCAGGAUCUGCCCGCCUAUGCAACGGGGCUCUUCCGUCUUCUUGUACCUGACUUACCACAAG